AUAUAAUGUCAAUCGUUACAUUCGAAAUAUAUCUUGAAUUGGAUCUCUUUCUUUACUUUUUGUUCCGUCAUAACGCAGAUACAAUUUGGGAUAGCUGUAAUAUGUGGACAAUAUAUUUAAGGAAAAUAUAUAGAUCGUUUGUCAAUAAUAUUUUUAUAAAGACUUCUAACGUCCGUCAUUGUAAAAACGUAUUAGUGAAUAUGAAAAAAUUAGCAAAUUAUUUAAAAUAAUUGUUGAUACAGAACUAUUAUAAAAGCCUAUUAUAAAAGAUUAUAUAUUAUUGUAUAAUAUUCUAUUAUUACAAGUAAAACGCAUCACAAAAGAGUACAACUCACUGUCAGCAUUAACUGGAAAGAAUACGAAAGCAAACUCUAUUCACUUGCGCCCUCUGUGUAAAAAACAUUCUAAAAAGAGAGAAAGAUACAGCGCCUCGGUAGCGCAGUAGGCAGCGCGAGAACAUUUUUUAUUUCGUCAUCAGCGUUUUCAAUUCUUGCAGAAGAAGAUGGACAAAAGUUACAUCAAUGUCAUCUAUGAUUUAAUAGAGAAUGAAAAUCGAUGAAAAUAACUUCGUCGUAGCGGAAAAAAAUUAACAUAGCGUUUCUUCCGCAAGAAAGACGACGCAGAGAAAGGGAUAGUAGAUAUGGAGUGGAUAUUUCGAAGGAAAUAGAGAAAGGUAUGUACGCGAUUCAAGGAAAAAAGUCUGCAUUGGAGAAAGGACGGCUUUAUCUGUUCACUGCGGAGCUGUUACGUAUAAAUGCAGAAACGCGGCCCGGUUCGCGGAGGUUGAGCGAUCGUUGGUGGGAGCGAGCUUGAUUCCGCGUUGAUUCAGACCGUAUUCAGUGCAUCGAGCUCGCGAUGAAAAGGCGUUCCGUUUUCUGAAUAUAUUCCAAUUAAAAAGUCGGAGCUUCGUUGCCCUCACCUCUGCCCGCUCACCUCUUGCUUUUGCCUCAUCCCCCGGAAGAGAGAAAGAGAGAGAGAGUGAGAGGAGAGAGAAGAGAGAGAGAGCAAGCGCCGGCUCAAGCGGCAACUCGAGCGCUCUUCUUCUUCUUUUUCUUCUACGCCCCACUAUCUCGUACCACCGACCCCCUUUUACUUCUGCCUUUUGCCUUCCGCCCCUACCGACGACGCGAUCCCUUUUUCCUAUCGCUCGACCAACCAGACAUUUUCUCCCUCUCGCUGUUUCUCCAGCAAUUACUUCUCCGCUUUUUCUUCUUUCCUCUUUUUCACUUUUCUAUCUUUCUUCCCUUCUAAAAAACUCUUUCUACCAUUUUUUCUUCCUCGAUCCUUCCUAAUAUACCUUACUCAAUUUCAUCCCCAUAUUUUUGUCCGAAUAAUUUUCAUUAUUUUCAAUAAUUGUUUCAUAUUUAGGAAAAUGUAGAUAAUACGCAUUUAAAAGAUAUCCUAGUCGAUAAUCUUUGCCUAACAAAGUUUAUCUCUAAAUUUGAAUUAUAUUUUAUGGAAUUGUUUUUAACAUGGGAAACGGCGAAUCAAGCUGUUGUUUCAUUCUCCGUGAAAAACAAAUGUAAAUUCGAUGCGUAUGUUCGCGCACGUACGCCUUGGAACCCCCAUGAAGUAUUUAACGAUGCCACAGAAUGAAGGCACAUCGUAAGGCUAAGGAGAGGAGAAGACGAAGAGGAAUACGAAGCGCGUGCCCAAGUGCCAACAGGAUUUACGCACGUAUGCACGCGCGUGUGCAAGCGUGUAUGCAAGCGCGUGUAUAGAUACGGAUAUUCGCUUGAGUACAAUGAGCACGUGGCCAGGCACACGCAAUACCACUUGUCUCGCUCAACUUCGAUUCCUAUCCCUUCAUGGAUGAUCCUCGGGUCAACUUUUUGUCCUUGAUCUCGAGACUGCACCACUAAACAAAGUUAAGAGAGAGAGAGAGAGAGAGAGAGAGAGAGAGAGAGAGAGAGAGAGAGAAAGGGUCACCCUGUAACAAAUACGACUUCGCUAUAAAUAUCAUAAGUUUGUUAGCAAAGCUAAUGCGAGAAUUUUCGUUGAAUAUACUAAUCGCAAUUUUAAUCCAAUUUAUUAACUAAGAUAAAAAUAGGAUUCAUUUUUGUAUCAAAUGAUAUUUAAUUAUAAAAUAUUCGUAUUACGUACCUAUAUAUAUAUAUAUAUAUAUAGGUACGUAAUACGAAUACGUGAAGCGAGCGAGAAAUAACUCAGGAAUCUAAAUUAACGCGAUUAUAUUUAGAAACGGUCUAAUGAAUUUAAAAUUGUUCGCAGAGAUAAAACGUUCUAAUUACUUAUAUUGCUGGCACGUUUUAAUUAUUUCGCUGGUUAAUGGUUAACAUUGGAAAGAACGAAGAAACGAAUGUAGUACGGUAGGUCGAAGAACAGUAACCGCCUGAACCGACUGAAUAGCGAAUGCCGUUGGAUAUCAUCGUGAAUACUGUACGAAUGAUUAUGUGAAAGUAAUUACGCGUAAGAUAUAGGAAUAUCAUUGAGAUUUCGUUUCAACUAUGCUGCAGUGAGUCCUAACAAAACGAAAGAGAAAAAGAGAAAGAUGAUUCAAGUUGAAGGAGGACAUAAGAAUUUUUCCUUCGUUCGAGCGAUUUCACGCUCGGUGAGACGAAUCUGCUUUUCCUAUAAUUCGAGGACUUGGGAUGUAAGAAAAGAAAAAGAAAUAGAAAGAGAUAGAAAGAGUACCACGGUUUAUUCCAUUCCGAAUAAACCCGAAAAGAGUAUCUUCCUUUCUACGAUUCCUUUUCGCUUAUCUUACGUUGGAUAUACGAAACUUCGUGUAAUGGAAUUGACAUGUAUAUGUUUUUUUUUUUUUUUUAUCGUUUUGUUUCUUUUUUCUUUUUACAUUUCAAUAAGAAAGAGAUCAUUAACAAUACCUUUAUCUAGCAGCUAUCCGUGUCGCCUCAUAAAGUAAUCAUCAUUCGUAUGAAGAUACCGUUCUUUCUCCUCUUCUAUUUCGCCCUAAUUAACGUUAUCGAUCCAACGCGAAACAUCGACGAAAGACAAUUGCUUGUAUCGUCGAUUGUAUAUUCUCUCGUCGAUUCCAUUCAAUUAAAUUCGUAAGCCAAUUCGUGUUCUAAGUGGCCUUGAUUCUUAACUUGUAUCGGUUUCAACCAAUUACUUCGAACGGGGCAGGAGUUGCGUGCAUUUUGGACACGUGCCCAUUGUUGUUUAUGAAUUAGCUUACUAUGCUAACUCAUUUUCGAAUGAAAGAAGAUGGUCAAGAAGAUAGAAUAUAAAUACAUCCUAAUGAUACACUCUUAAUAAUAUAUUUCAACUUUUAAAUAAAUUGUAUUCACAUGAAACGAAGGUAUACAUAUUAGGGGGUUAAUAAUUGAAUGGAUUUAAUAUCUUGGAAUUAUAUACAAUAUAUAAUAACGAUAUACAAGCAUUUUUUAUAUGUUGUUUCAUAAUAAUUUAUUUAUCUACAAGAACUCCUCAUCUUACACAAAAUUGUCAACUAGUGAAAGAUGUUAAGUUACAUAUCGAUAGUGAACGUCGAUUAAAUUACUAAAUUAAAGUUGCCGUUAAAACACGAAAAAUACGUACAUAGUCGAGCAUUGCACAUUCGGUAAUAAUUAUCCCUUUUCAUUUUUCAAAGUGAUCAUUUCAAGUAAUACAAUGAAAUAGCUAAGUAUUAAUAUCACUAUAUUCUUUAAUUGUUAUUCAUCGAUCGAGCGUUCAUUUCAGAGAAUUAUUGGAUCCUCAUCUUUGAGUAAUAAUUUAUCGUAAUUACCACAGUAGUUACAAAUUACUGUACUACUGUAGAAAGAUUUUCAUCGUUAAAAAUGAAAUCUAUUAUCGGCAAAAACAUUCAUUUAUCUAUCAAGAUAAGGACCAUUCGAAACCACCAAGAAACAAUUAAAUAUACGAUCGCCGAUCUAUUUAAUAAUUACAUAUUUACAUUGUCGAUCAACUGUCCCGUUUGCAACGAAAGCAAAUACGAGGAAAGGCUUUUAAACAAAAAACUUCACCAACUGGAAAUUCAAGAACAUUUAUCGUUCUUAAUCGAAUAUUCCUGAUAACAUACAAAAAUAUUGAAAUACUGUACGCAUACGCAUGAAAUAAAAUUUCAUGUGUAAAAAAAAAAAAGAAGAGAGUUUUCUUUUUAGAGCAAUAAUAUUCGUAAAGCAACAAUUAAAGCCAUACCAUUUAUCAGUUGCAGCGAUGAAGAUAAUAAAAUAUAUCGAGUGGAACCUUUAACUUCGUUUUUGCUUCCAAAAGAAUCUUAUAUGUUGCUCGUAGAAGUGUUCGAGUUAGGCAGGAGCUAUUUGGUGAUUCGAAACGAUAUUUAAAUUAUGAUAUCGUACGCGUUAGAGUGGACAGCCGUGUACGUAUGUGACGUUUCGAAAAAGUGCAGCCGCCGUCGAAAGGAACGCUGCCGUGGACGCCGUGGAUGGAGCUGGUGGUGGUGGUGGCGGAGGUGCAUGAUUUGUCACUUGUGUUUGUGCAUUGUAAGACGGACAAUAGGCGUCUAUGCUACCAUGAUGAAGACCGACGCCUCGUACAAGGAGCUCUUUUUCUACCGUGGCUUGAUGACGAAGUUGUUCGAGUCGUAACUGAUUCUGUCUCUUCCACUUCGUUCUGGAACAAGUAAGCAAGUUGAGCAUGUGUAAAAGCCGUUCGUCUUCUUCGUGGCUUUCUUCCACUAGGUGGACCACUAGGAGUUCCGCAAGAUUUACCAGACGUUGUCGGACCUGGUGGAGGCGAGAGAACAGGUGGAGGACUUCCUAGUCGAGUGCAAGGACUACUGCCAGGAUCGAUUGUAUCUUCGGAAUCCGAAUGAACGGCCGAAUCAUCUUCGGAAUCUUCUAUUCGACUCAACGGUGAAAGCCUAUUAUCGAGACAAUGCCGAACGAAUCGAAAUCGAUUUAUUAUCCUCCCUAGUUCAUGGUAAACGAUCUCAAUCAAGAUCCUGUGGUGUCGUACAACGAUUGACCAAUAAAACUGGGAAACGCUGUGGGACAGAGUAACCGACGGCAAAAAUUUGUGGACUAACGAAUCCUAACGAGUCACUUCGCACCUAAAACCAUCUGUAGGAUCACCCUUAACAGGGUGACACCCUGUAGUGUGGAUCGUCGUUCCUCGGACCCCGUAUAGUGGAUAAAAAUAAUAGAAGAGUCCUUGGGGGGUAUCUUUUAACGAGAAUCCCGACGGUAGUGCACGCGACCGACUCGUGUUUCGUAUAUAAAACACUAAUAAUCUAUCAAAAUUCAUUUCUUUUUUAUUGAUUGUUAAAUCUUUAAUAUGUCUUCGAUCAUUCGAGAAAUCAAUAUCACCUACCUUGAACUCUAUCCGCCAGAACGUCGCCCAAAAGAUCUCUUAUCAAAAAGGACUUGUGUUCUUGCAUCAUCGUCACUGAUGAAUCGAUGCAAACCAGAUUAAAAAAUUAAACAAGAUCACUCGAGUAUAAGAAUUGUUUACUUUCCGUAUCCGCGUUAUCACCGAUUAGUCUAAGGAGCCGACUUUCAUGCUAUCGUACGGACGCUCGGCAUCGUUCUGCGUCGACCGCGACCACGGGGAUGACCGGAUGUAUCUGGCCGACGUUCCACUGUCGUCAUCGUCCUAGACAUUCUUGUCGUCUUCGUCGUCGUAGCCACGUUGUGGGUGAAGGCGAGUCGUUGUAGGAGGCGGAGGCUUACUCGAUGAAGUUUGGAUACGAGGGUGAGGGGUACUACAGCAUUCAUCGUCUCUCCAACUAUAUCUUUUCCAAGCCCUGCCACCCCUUCGAAUUAAUCCGCCCGUUUAUUUUGAACGGGCAGCCUAAUGCCCGCGCGAUUUCGCAGCCAUUUUGGGGGUGGAGGCGCCUUCCGCGAGCCCCGCGCAUUCCCUUAAAAACAGUUGGCAUGGCUCUUGCCAUUGGUCGGCGGUACGGACGAGUGAGGGACGAAAAGUGUCUUCCGAGAGAUGCUAUUGGGCGGAUAAACGCACCCUGCGCGAGAGAAGGUUGGUUCUCUCCCUCCAUCAUCUUUCAUCCCUUCUAUACCUAUCGUUUCGCUUUCCUUUUGUAUGCAUUCAGACGAGAACACAAGGUAUAUAAUAGGGCUCGCACGAGUUGGUAAGGUAAGGACUACCAAACGUAGAGCCGCGUCGACUAACGGAGGUGGGCUGAUAGGGGAGGAAGUAAUUGGCAAGCGAUUACCGUAGAAGGAGAGGAGCAAAUUGGAUGUGAAACGUUUCUGUAGCUUUAUUAUGAUGCAGUCUUGUUCUAUCUGAAUUUCAAACUUAUCUCCUGACUUUCUCUCUUUUUACCGUCGCCCAACUCUUUCAAAUUUAAAGAGAUAGUCACUACGCGAGGAAGAAAUCAGUAAGAUCGUCGUCAAGCUUCUAUCCAUUAGCACUUUUUAUAAAACAUAAUUCAAUCUUAAUGAAUUUUGUUUUUUUAUUAUUAUUAUUUUCUGCAAACAAGACUGACUAAAAUCGAAAAAAAUUGUUCCUCAUAAUCGAAUUUAAUUAGAUUAAUGAUCUUUAACUUUGUUAUAGAUAUUUCAUCUAUGUCAAUUCAUAAUUUAAGAAGAAGAGAUUAUCACCAAUCACCAAAUAAAAAUGUUAUAAAAUUUUUAUUAUACACGUAACCGUAUCGAUUACUCGAGUCGAAUAUUUAAUGUUUUCUGUUUUAGAAUAACUCAAAUUGCGAUGAUAUCGUUACGAAGUUGAUUUAUUUGCAUAGACCUCGAGAAAGGAUAACGUUAGGAGUGCCAAAUGUAGGAGAGAUAGAUGUGCACCAUAUUUACAUAAAUACAUCCCUCGCUGUUUGGAAUUUCCUACCUUUCGUAUCUCCCCUUGCCCUUUGGAGGGGUAGUUUGUGAGCGUAAAUAUGCAUGAUGCAUGCACUCACAAAUCCUCAAACCGCCUACUUUCUCAGCCGCCUUCAUGCUUCCACUAUUUCUCUCGCGGCCCUGGGCUCAACAGCACCCUGUUAGUCUAUUCACUGCACUACACUACUUAACUUUUGUAAGCACCUACACAUAGUACAUAUUUACAUAGAUGUACUCUCGUAUAUGUAUUUUAUAUUUUACGAAAUCGCAUUCAGUAGAAACGAUAAAAUACGAAAAUAUAACGAUAAAAUCAACAACGCGUAUAUACAUAGAUAGAUAUAUCUCAAAUUUAUUGAUUAUUUAACGUCGUAUUGACUUACUCUACUUGUCUGUUACCAUCACACAUAUACGUUUUUAUUAAAAAUUCACACUUACAAAAGAUCUUCCUUUCUGAAGUCAAAUCUUCCUCAAAAAUAUUUGUUUCAAUUAUUCUUUAUAUGACAUUGUUAUACCAUAUCGACACCUGUAAAGUCCUCUUUAUGAUGUCGAGCAGUGAACGCGAUGGAUCGGAACGCCUUUCUGAAUUCAUUAGGAUUAACAUAUGCAGGAGAUUAAUUCAAGGGGCGGCAAAGCGGCUAGGCGUCUUCUUACCGGGCGCAGAAAAGGGCGCCGAGAACACUGAAAAGAGGGGAAUAAAUGAAUGAUAGAAGACGGAACGAGAGUUGAGUAACGUCAAAAAUAAAAA